rnacentral:rRNA from 1 species
GGGGUGCAGCAGGCGCGAAACCUUAGCAAUGUGCGAAAGCACGACUGGGUCAGUCCGAGUGAUUCCUGAUAAAGGAGUCUUUUGCCUGUCCUAAAAGCACAGGUGAAUAAGGGGUGGGCAAGUCUGGUGUCAGCCGCCGCGGUAAUACCAGCACCUCGAGUGGUCAGGACGUUUAUUGGGCCUAAAGCAUCCGUAGCCGGCUCUGCAAGUCUUCGGUUAAAUCCACCUGCUCAACAGAUGGGCCGCUGGAGAUACUACAGAGCUAGGGAGUGGGAGAGGCAGACGGUAUUCAGUGGGUAGGGGUAAAAUCCUCUGAUCCAUUGAGGACCACCAGUGGCGAAGGCGGUCUGCCAGAACACGUUCGACGGUGAGGGAUGAAAGCUGGGGGAGCAAACCGGAUUAGAUACCCGGGUAGUCCCAGCUGUAAACGAUGCAAACUCGGUGAUGCAUUGGCUUAUGGCCAAUGCAGUGCCGCAGGGAAGCCGUUAAGUU